rnacentral:rRNA from 1 species
AUUGAACGCUGGCGGCAUGCCUUACACAUGCAAGUCGAACGGUAACAGGUUAAGCUGACGAGUGGCGAACGGGUGAGUAAUAUAUCGGAACGUGCCCAGUCGUGGGGGAUAACUGCUCGAAAGAGCAGCUAAUACCGCAUACGACCUGAGGGUGAAAGCGGGGGAUCGCAAGACCUCGCGCGAUUGGAGCGGCCGAUAUCAGAUUAGGUAGUUGGUGGGGUAAAGGCCCACCAAGCCAACGAUCUGUAGCUGGUCUGAGAGGACGACCAGCCACACUGGGACUGAGACACGGCCCAGACUCCUACGGGAGGCAGCAGUGGGGAAUUUUGGACAAUGGGCGCAAGCCUGAUCCAGCCAUGCCGCGUGCGGGAAGAAGGCCUUCGGGUUGUAAACCACUUUUGUCAGGGAAGAAAAGGUUCUGGUUAAUACCUGGGACUCAUGACGGUACCUGAAGAAUAAGCACCGGCUAACUACGUGCCAGCAGCCGCAGUAA